GUGCAUGCGGUUAACCUCGAAAUCGCCAUUAUACCAUAGAAAGAUAUCACUCAUUAAUUUUGAAACAUAUCAGCGGUUUUUCGAAAAUAUUCUAAAUAAAGAGACAUAAAAUACGGAUAAAUGGAAAUACUGUCUCUGCAAAGACACUUAAAGUUAAAAAAGAGAUUCUUCAAAAACUUUCAUAACCAUAAUAUUUUGAAAUUUGUUCGCAAUAUUUGGUUACUACGGCAGCGAAUGACGGCUAAAAUUUAAAAUAUUAUCAUCAAUUAAAAUUUAAUUAUCACAAUAUCAAUAUUCAACAUAUAAAGGGUAUACUACAAUCAAAACUUAUUUUAUAAUAUUUACUCAACAUCAAGCUUCUCACGGAUUUAGUCAUCAAAGACUUAUAAAAGAAAGAAUGCAUCUUCUGUUUACGCUUGAUGUCCUUUGGUUUUCCCUCACUUUAUUGGCAAGAAAAGUGUGUUUUUUGGAAAAAUCAUCAAAUUUUUAUUGCAAAUGAAGAGAACUUUAUAAGUAAGGAUUCUCGAAAGGUGUUUUGAUAAAGGCUGUUUUUAGUAUAUACCCUGAAAUUAACUAAAUUCAGUUAUAAGCUAUAGUUGCAUGGACCACAGGCUCAACUAGUCAGCCGUCUCUUUUUUCUCCACACAUGAAAUUAAUAUCUUUUGCUGUUGCUGUCCUAUGAGACGUGAAUUGUUGAAUUGCCGUUAGAAGCAUACUAUAGCCAUACCGAUUUAAUAAAUAUAACCAAAUAGAAAUCUAAAUAAUAGAUAUGCUUAUUUGUGAAUAUUGGAAGUCGAAUUAAAUAACUAUUUAAUAAAUUGUUCUGUAUUCUGGUAUUAAUCUGAUCUGUUUCUAACUAGUUCGUAUGUAACCAGCAAGUUUUCUUGACCAUUUGAAGUCUCAUGCUGGGUACCUAUCGGCUGGUUUUUUGAAUGUGGAUCAUUUUAUGCGGUUACAAGGUCCACGCUCAUUUACGAUACAAAAACAAGGAUAAUUUAGCUAAUUGCUUAUAAAUAUCUGAUUAAAAUACACGGUUGCUUGUGACCAACUUACCAUUAUAACAUUGUAAAUUCGUUCAGAGACAAGUUAUUAGAUCUAAAUCAAUUAAAUUGAUAUCAAAUCGUAAAAUGCUCGCAACUUGCUCUUAAGAUUAGUGCUUAAAAACUUAUAUCAGGUGCUAUUUAAUGGAUAUUAGUUCGGAAAAGAGCUUCACUAAAUAAAUUAUUGAUAUUCUCUCUCAAUAAUACUUUCAAAUGAAUAAUGCAAAAUGCUUAAUUUUUGUUAUGUACAUACAUACGUAUGUAACUAUGUAUGUGUUUCAACAAAAAGUAUGGAGUAGGACCAGGCUAGGGCUAGGGCAGGAGAAGGGGCUAGAGCAAAUUUAUUAUUUAUCCUUUUGUGCGCAUGCAACUGUUAGCAACUGUGUAUGUAUGUAUGGGCAAGUUGUGGUGUGCAUGUGUGGACAGCUCAUUGUUAUGCCAAACAAUGCUUCGGAAAGCUGAUUUUUCAUUUUGACACAACUUGCGAAUGUGAACUAAUAGAUACAUAAAAUUGCUGUUUCUUUUUGCAUUGCAUAAUGUGUACAUACAAAUAUGGAGAUUAAUAUGUAUGUCGUUUUGUGAGAAUUGAAUUUGGAGAGUCGUAUGUAUGUACAUACAUAUGUAUGUAUGUAGUAGUAGCUAGAAAUUCAUCAUCUGGAAGAAAAAUAUGUUCUCUCAAAUUCAUGAUAUGAGCAGCUAACAGUACUCGACUCCGUGUCCGAAUGUCAUUAGAGAGGGUGUACGUAUUUCACACCCUAUGCUGGAAAACGUGAGAGAGAAAAAACAGUAAACUAAGGACGACCUACACGGCACAUUCUAAGCAAUAGGUGGAGCACAUACUCUGUGCUACAGUGGUCCUGAAGAGUUAGCUACAGAAACCUUGGCAAUGAACAAAUUAUCAAUGAUAACGCUUCUCUUCAGGAUUAUCAAAUAUCAAAACUUACAUGAAAGAACCGAGAUAAGAUUGAGUUUUUCAAGAUGCGAGCAACGAGUUCAUAUGUUCGCAGCCUGUAAACUUCACAUUGUAGAUCUGUAGCCUACAGACCACGAAUGCAUGUGGUAGCCUCCGAGCCUACAUCGCCGUAUAAUUCACUGCAUCGCAUUUGCGGAUCUAAAUUGCCACAAGAUGAGGAAUAACUGCCGCCCAUAAAUAUAAGCGUCCACGCGUACACACUUUCACAUAAAUACAUAUCCAUCUAUCUAAGUACAUAUGUAUGUUUGUACAUGUAUGUAUGCAUUAUAUUUUUUUAGCUUGUCGCAAUUCAAUAUUUUCUCAAUCCAUUCAUAAAUCACCAUUAAAACGGCAAUUUUUGUCACUUGCUGAAUCAAGAAAGCUAUAAACGUCGCAAAUAAGAUGAAACGAAACAAAGCUAAAUAAAUUCGAUUGCCCUGUAAAGCCCAUUAAAUCAAAUUAGCUUAAAAAGUAAGCAUUGUUUGAGAUUUAUUUCCAGGACCACAUUAUUCCUCCUGUUAGGCGUUAGUCCAUUAUAACUGCUCAUAACUCACAACGGUAAUCCUUUGAAAGGACAUCGAAGUUGUGAUACUUCUCCCACAAAUGACCAUAAAAAUGCAAUUAGAGGUAAAUCAUGGCAUAUUUCGUUUACGAAAAACAAAACACGCAGAAACACGAAGUGGCUGAAGCGGCUGAAGCGGCGAUGACAAAGCAUUACGUUGUUAGAUUCCGUUGCUUCACUUUUUACUAAAGUGAAAAUAAUCUAAAACUUCGACCUCAUAACAGUUUCGAUAACAGAUCAAAAGGAUGGAAUUUUCUAACACAGAAUUUUUCAUAUUCUAUCUAUAAAGCCCAAAGCGUAAUAUCCAAACAAGUUUAACAUAAAUCAAAAGCUCCCCAAACACCAGUUUAGCAACAUUACAAUUUUAGUACAGAUUUUAAUCUAUCCAUGGGAAAACUUACUAACUUUCUCGCAUAUGUACAUACAUAAUAUCACAUCUAUCACACUUACUCAAACGUACAUACAUACAUACAUACAUAUGUGCACACUCGAAUUGUACUCGUAUAGCAUACCUUUCGAGAACAUGCUAAAUGGCAUUUUUAUGCAUUUUCAAUACCAGACACUGCAUUAAAAAAGCCUUACUAACCAUUUAUAUUUGUAUUUGUAUUUGAAGAAUAAUUCAUUAUUUGGAACGCGCUCGCUUCGACCAACUGAUGCGUUCACAAGCGCAUAGCAAUUUGGCACACGGGCCAUCACACCCAUGCACACACGUGCUUAUCAUCCGUUGGCUGUUUGGUUGUUGGAACACCGCUUUAUCCCCACAGGACAUUAGAAAACAAGAAAAAUACGAUAUACAAAGAAGAGAAUGGGCAAGUGGAAAACUUUUUGUCACUCGGGGGUUUCUACGAUACAACUGUACAUGUCCCAUGAAAAAAUAUGGCAACCAAAUCGCCAUUAUACGAGUAACUACGACUGCGGUUAGUCCGAAAUCUUUCAGAGAAAAGCUGUUGAGUUUCGUCUUGAAUAUGAAAUGGCUUGGAAAAGAAAAAUUGUGUCCAAGUCACCUCGCAAAUUAUUUUCAAUAUAUAUAUGUACAUACAAGUACAUAUGUAUGUGCACACACACAUACCCACUUUGCAUUCGUUAUUUCUGAGCAUUUCGAGUAUACGAAUUAUCCUAUUAAGAAAAUAUCCGAUAAGAAACACGUUAAAGAAAAGUGAAAUGAGUUAUUCGCAGCCCGUUCAAAUAGAGGAUAGCAAUGAAGACUCAAUAAAUUUGUCGAACGAUCAA